GCCCUGGUCCGGCCCCCUUAGCAUGCUGCUCAGGGGAAGGAGGGGGAGGGGCUGGGGGAGCCUCCCCAGCCGGGAGCUCAGGCGGGCCGGAUGUGGCCCACGGGCCGGUGUAACAACUGAAAAACCUCCCUCUCCCAAUUGCCCACCCCUUUAACAACCAGUUCUAAACCGGCUUCUAAAUUUAUCAACCGGUUUGCACAAAGGCCUCUAAGAACAAGCAGGAGAACCAGUGUGGUCAGGGGAAGCUUAGCCUGAACAAAAGGGUUGAUGCUGGAGGGUGAAUUCCAGCAGUAAGGGUAGGACGUAUGGACGAGGAGGCCUGGGGAAUGUACGCUGCUGGAGUUCUUUCAUGGGAGACCUGACUUGGGGCUACAGGAGACAUGUCAUGGGUAAGAAGUGAAUUGGGGUGCGCUCAGGUGGAUGGCCUGGAUAGCGAAGCCAUGGAACAAGGGCAGAAAGAGUCUGGGGACAGACUGCUUAAUGUCCCUCUUGGGAAGAUUAGUUGGAAAUGAUGUCCCGGGAUGUGGCAUUGAAAACUGCUGUGAACCUGUUGUAUUUUGGGAGAAUGGUGUGAUUAGGAGUGUUCUUUGGUAGCCUACCUUCACUGCUGACCUUGGUGAAGAAUUUCACAAGCCAAAGCCGAGCAUGAGGGCCAAGUUUUUUUAGGAAUUCUGGAUAUAUGUUGUCAUAGCCCGCAGCUGUUCCACACUUGAUGCUACCUGGUGUCUGUUCCAGCUCUGUUACAGUGAAUGGUUCUGGGCAGCUUCUGAUAUGAUGUACACAUUUAAACAUAUACCAUUCGUUCCUCACUUGUCUUUGCACUUAUUUCUCCAAAGGUGCUCUGAGCACUUUAAGUAGGUGUCCAGCUACCUGUUGGGUGUCACUGAGAGUCGGCAGAGUGCAGAUGGCUGCUGCGCUGCUCCAAGGCGUCAGAGCAGACUCCAACACUUGUGGCUGGAGGGAUAAAGCUCAUCCUCUUGGUCGUCUCCUCCCAUCUGGCUCGGCCUGGACAACAAGGGACAUCUUCCAGGACCCUAUGCAUGACACUUCCAUGAACUGCAGAGGGAACGAGAGCUUUUGAUGAGAGAAACUCCAGGAAGAAAACAGGAUCAUUCCUGCUUCCUGUACAAUUGCAAAAGCCUUUGAAACCUGAUUCUUGAGGUGACCCAUGGUGAGUCGCAGCUCACGAGACUUCAGUGAAGCAAGUAGCAACAGGAGUCAACCGGUGUUGGGGACAAAUUGCCGAGACUGCACUUAUGAGAAGCGUUACCAUGAUCACCCACGUGUGGAGAGACCUGUGGAGAAAUAGAGAAUGAAACGAGAAUUGCUGUACCUACAAUUAGGCUCUGCUACUGCAAAUCACUCUGCCUGGGCAGACCCCUGCAAACUCAAGGAGUCCCUUCGGAGGUCUGCCAAGAUGGAAUAUAAUGACUUGCAAUAAUUAAGCCUGGAGAUCAUGAAUGGAUGGAUCACUGUGGCCAGGUCUGUGUUUGGAAGUCCUGUGGCCUGAAGCUCUGAAGAGAUGGGAACUCACUUCUACUGUCUAUUGCUGAAUGAGGGAAAGAACAGCCCAGAGCUGCUUGAGAACUCCAGGUGGACAAAGGAUCCAUAAGGGAGAGAGAUCUUGGGUGACAUCUGUCGAAUUUGACCAGGUUUCCACGUAGUGCACUCAGUAGACACUUCAGACUGGAGAGAAUAUUUGCUUUAGAAAAUAUUAAGAGACCCUGAGAGCGUCAGUAACUUCCUUCCUGGCUGAGAUGAUAUUUUAGAGACAUUCAUUUGGACUAUGAGGUCAGUAACAAGGGGCUCUCCUCCUGCACUAUCUCUGCUGCAGCCACAUGUACAGAUUCUGAAGAGACAUGAAGUCACACAGGAGCUGCUGGUCUGUCCUGCUGUUCCUCGGUUUCUCCCACACUCUUCUCAUUGACAUUCCUCAGGAUUCAGUCAAUGGAACUGUCAGUCAUUCUGUCCUUCUGCCCAUCUCCUAUAGGCUCCAGGGGCCAUUUCUCUCUUCUCUGUCCAUUCAGUGGAAUUUCAGUAACACCCCUGAUCUACUCACCGUCUACACAGCGACUAACUGUUCUGUCAGCGCUGAGGGGAUUCCCACCUGCUGCUCUGGACAUAAUUAUAUACAUCCCAAAUACCAAGGCCGGACUGUAUUUUUCCCUGAAAAUGCUUCUCUGCUCCUUCAGAACCUGCAGCUCAAUGACAGCGGAGUCUACAGAGUCACCUUCAAAGUACCACAGCAAACCAGACACAUCACAUUAAAUGUAUCUGAAUCUCACCUGAACCAUGGAAAUGCAGAUGGUGGAACAAGAAAAGAAACUAAUCAACAUCCAGACCUUCUCCUUGGACUUCAGAUCACUGGAGGCUUCAGUUUCCUCCUGCUCUUUCUGUUGCUGUUCUUCUGCUGCAGAUGGCAUAAGGGUACAAUUCAGCAGAGGAGGACAAGAAUCAUAAAGCAAAAAGAAGAGGUCCCAAAUCAUGAGGAGUCUCACAUGGAAAGUUCGUUACCAAUGACGGUAUCAACAAUUUAUGCAAGGAUUGGAGAAGAUGCUGGGCAGAGGCAGCGCAGAUCAGAGUCACAGACUGAAUAUGCCUUUUUAAGCUUCUCUUCACAGCAGCUGUAACCCCAACGUGCACAGUUGGUUUUAGGCAUGAUCAGCACAUGCAGUUACUCUGGGAGCCACACAGUUCAAGAGCUCUGCUGUAAAUAAUCAAAUUAUCCUAUUUAAUGGGAACAGUACAUAAUGGCAAUAUUGUUUAGAUGGUUUUUCCAGACUUCCGAGCUUUUCAGAAGAGUGUAUUUUACACAUGUAAAUGGAUGAUGGAUUAAAUCCAAAGUGUCUUUGUGAACUCAGGAUUCAUCUGUUUUAGGUGCAGCUUGAGGCACGGAAGCCUGUAGAUUAUCAUUAUUGACUCUUCGUAGUGGGGUAGAGCCUGGAUGCCCCAGUCAGGGAUCAGGAUACCAUUGUGCCAAGCAGUGUACACACACAACCUUAAGAUGGUUCCAGCCCCAAAGCAUGUGGGACAUCUUAAGCACUAAUAUGGGUUCCACUGACAGGUACCCUAUGUGUCCCUGCUCCACUAGCUCUCUGGGUGGAUAGGAUAUAUAGUAUGUGUUGCGUUUGGAGCCACCAGGUGGUAUCCAGAAUAAGAAACUUACUGUACCUAGUUCUAGGCUCUGCUGUCAUCUAUGUGCUCUGUGAAGAUCCUAGAAUGAGCUGCUCUUUAUUCAUUCUAAAGUUAUUUUGAAAACACUGAGUGAAGAUAAAAAGAACUGGGUGAGUGGGGUGUGGAAUUGCUACUUAUCUGAGGAAGGAAGGAUCUUCCUUUUGCAACUGUUUAAAUGUCCAUAAGCUCCCCGUAAUUUGGGAGCCUGGCAAUGUAACAAAGAAUUUUAGAUUAUUUUUAAAGUAAGUUUCUUUCCCUUUUACUGUGAAGAUACCCUUCGUACAUUAAACCAAUAUAACCUGA